rnacentral:lncRNA from 1 species
AGGCAUGAGCCACUGCUGCCGGCUGAGAAAUGUCCUCCCCCUAGCCCCGCAUCCCACCCAGCCUUGUAGGUGUCUGGUCAUACUGUCCACUAGAGAGCAAAGCGUCUCUGGAGUCUGCAGCAGCAGGUCUGACGAACGAACAAGGGAAGGAGAGAGCCUGCACCCCCACCACUCCCUCAGGGGAGCUUGCCUAAAGUUUGCUACUGAGCAUCCGGACAGAAGCCACUGGCCAGCACUGACGUUCCACGAGGAGCCCAGAGGAUGCGACGAUCAUCUGCCCAUUAUUUUUACUCUCGGACCCCCCACCUCCGGAGUCUGGGGGUCCCUCUGUGUCAGUGGGAACCGGGA